rnacentral:rRNA from 1 species
GACGAACGCUGGCGGCGUGCCUAAUACAUGCAAGUAGAACGCUGAAGGAGGAGCUUGCUUCUCUGGAUGAGUUGCGAACGGGUGAGUAACGCGUAGGUAACCUGCCUGGUAGCGGGGGAUAACUAUUGGAAACGAUAGCUAAUACCGCAUAAGAGUAGAUGUUGCAUGACAUUUGCUUAAAAGGUGCAAUUGCAUCACUACCAGAUGGACCUGCGUGGUAUUAGCUAGUUGGUGGGGUAACGGCUCACCAAGGCGACGAUACAUAGCCGACCUGAGAGGGUGAUCGGCCACACUGGGACUGAGACACGGCCCAGACUCCUACGGGAGGCAGCAGUAGGGAAUCUUCGGCAAUGGACGGAAGUCUGACCGAGCAACGCCGCGGGAGUGAAGAAGGUUUUCGGAUCGUAAAGCUCUGUUGUAAGAGAAGAACGAGUGUGAGAGUGGAAAGUUCACACUGUGACGGUAUCUUACCAGAAAGGGACGGCUAACUACGUG